AGCUCAGUGGUGGAGUGGUACACAUCUGCAGUCCAUGCUGAUAAUCCGCGUAACUUCGGCAGACAAUGCUUGUUCGAAUCAAGCCUGAGCUA